rnacentral:rRNA from 1 species
AGAAUCAACGCUGGCGGCGUGCCUAACACAUGCAAGUCGCACGAGAAAGGGGAGCAAUCCUUGAGUAAAGUGGCGCACGGGUGAGUAACACGUGAAUGAUCUACCUCCGAGUGGGGAAUAACUGAGAGAAAUCUUAGCUAAUACCGCAUAACACUUACGAGUCAAAGCAGCAAUGCGCUUGGAGAGGAGUUCGCGGCCGAUUAGCUAGUUGGCGGGGUAAUGGCCCACCAAGGCGAUGAUCGGUA